rnacentral:rRNA from 1 species
AUUGAACGCUGGCGGCAGGCCUAACACAUGCAAGUCGAGCGGAUGAAGGGAGCUUGCUCCUGGAUUCAGCGGCGGACGGGUGAGUAAUGCCUAGGAAUCUGCCUGGUAGUGGGGGAUAACGUCCGGAAACGGGCGCUAAUACCGCAUACGUCCUGAGGGAGAAAGUGGGGGAUCUUCGGACCUCACGCUAUCAGAUGAGCCUAGGUCGGAUUAGCUAGUUGGUGGGGUAAAGGCCUACCAAGGCGACGAUCCGUAACUGGUCUGAGAGGAUGAUCAGUCACACCGGAACUGAGACACGGUCCAGACUCCUACGGGAGGCAGCAGUGGGGAAUAGUGGACAAUGGGCGAAAGCCUGAUCCAGCCAUGCCGCGUGUGUGAAGAAGGUCUUCGGAUUGUAAAGCACUUUAAGUUGGGAGGAAGGGCAGUAAGUUAAUACCUUGCUGUUUUGACGUUACCAACAGAAUAAGCACCGGCUAACUUCGUG